UACGGGGGGGGCAAGCGUUGUUCGGAAUUACUGGGCGUAAAGGGCUCGUAGGUGGCCAACUAAGUCAGACGUGAAAUCCCUCGGCUUAACCGGGGAACUGCGUCUGAUACUGGAUGGCUUGAGUUUGGGAGAGGGACGCGGAAUUCCAGGUGUAGCGGUGAAAUGCGUAGAUAUCGGAAGGAACACCUGUGGCGAAAGCGGCUCACUGGACCAUAACUGACGCUGAGGCGCGAAAGCUAGGGGAGCAAACAGG
rnacentral:rRNA from 1 species